rnacentral:lncRNA from 1 species
ACCUUGAUCAACACAAAUUUUUAUGCAUCCCUUAUUUGUCGCUGCGUCACUCAUUGUAUAGUCACAUACUCCUUUGCAUACCCUCCAUGCCUCUGCUCUGAAUGUAAUUCACUCCUGUUUCUCUCCUCAGACACAGUGGAGAACAACAAAUAUCUUCAUAUCACAUUUUCAGUGGAGUCGAACACCUUGACCAAUGACGUGGCAUUAAAUGGCCUGGAUGCUGCAGAUUAUUUGAAGCUGGGUGUGGUGAGGAUUUGGGGCGUGGGACCUGAGAUCACAGAGGUUUCCAUAACUACAAAUACAGAGACUUACCCACUAACCCCACAGCACAACCUUGAAUCACAGGAGCUGACCGUAGAUAUUACUGAUCUGAAUGUGAAUGUGCAUCAGAAUUUUCAGUUAACAUGGAAGACCAAGGCUUGAAGGCAGUAUUUGUGUUCACUUUAAAAAAAUAAGAUAUCUUUAAAUAAGGGUCCAUUAAUUUAAACAAAGAUGUGAAGAAUACAUAUUGUUUUUGAACAUGAAAUGUGAAACCUCAAUGCCUCCCAUCAACCUAUAAAACUGAAUAACGUUUUCCUUUUUACCAUUACACUCUGCCUUUAAAAUAAAUGUUUGAUUUACUCUAAAUAACUUCAGAACUUUAUUGUCAUUCAAUAUCCCAAAAUGUGUGAUACCAUAGAAAAAAUAAUGACUGCCAAUCAUGUCUAUGGUAGGAAUGUUUUUUCUUGCAAUCAUGUAUACAGGAUCCAACUGCAAUGAACUGCAUCAUAUGCAUGUCUGUUACUGCAAAUAAGAUAUGAAUAAAUCAGUGAAUUAAAAAAUGUGUUUGGUGUUCUUCUCCAGUUAUAUGUGUCUCUGUUUUCAUAUUGGUCUUUUAAUCCAGUUAAUAAUCCUGUUAAGAGAAAGUGUAAUCCAGUUAUAAUGACCCAUAUAAUCAAAC